rnacentral:rRNA from 1 species
CAGCCGCCACGGUAAUACGUAGGGUGCGAGCGUUAAUCGGAAUUACUGGGCGUAAAGUGUGCGCAGGCGGUUAUAUAAGACAGAUGUGAAAUCCCCGGGCUCAACCUGGGACCUGCAUUUGUGACUGUAUAGCUAGAGUGCGGUAGAGGGGGAUGGAAUUCCGCGUGUAGCAGUGAAAUGCGUAGAUAUGCGGAGGAACACCGAUGGCGAAGGCAAUCCCCUGGACCUGUACUGACGCUCAUGCACGAAAGCGUGGGGAGCAAACAGGAUUAGAUACCCGGGUAGUCCCUGUCUCUUAUAC